CGGCCGGCCGCCUGCACUGUUGCCGCCUGGACGCCGGGGCUCGUGGCCCCGCGGAGCCUCCAUCCGGAUCGCUUGGUCCAUGGUUCCUGCUCGUGGAGACGCCGCGGGAAGGCUUCGGCCUGGGAAUUCAACCGCACUCCGGAGGGUGGACGCCGUGCCCCAGGGGCAAGGCCUUGGCAAACCCUCCCGGGCGAGCAGCUGCUCCUGAGGAACGAGGCGCGAGCCGGGCCGAACCUGCUGCUCCGCUGAUGUGACGUGGCCCCUGGUCUGCUGCGGUGCCUGUGCGACCUCACACCAGGGGACACAGCACCCUCGGAGCCCCUGACGGUGUGGCCCCGUGCUCCCCUGUGGUGCCUGUGCGACCUCACACCGGGGGAGGGAACACCUCGGAGCCCUUGACGGUGUGGCCCCGAGCUCUGCUGCGGUGCCUGUUCGACCUCACACCAGGGGACACAACAGUCUCGGAGCCCCUGAUGGAAGUGGCCCCCGUGCUCCCCUGUGGUGCCCUGUGCGACCUCACACCAGGGGAGGGAACACCUCGGAGCCCUUGACGGUGUGGCCCCGAGCUCUGCUGCGGUGCCUGUUCGACCUCACACCAGGGGACACAACAGUCUCGGAGCCCCUGAUGGAAGUGGCCCCCGUGCUCCCCUGUGGUGCCCUGUGCGACCUCACACCAGGGGAGGGAACACCUCGGAGCCGUGACGGUGUGGCCCCGAGCUUUGCUGCGGUGCCUGUUCGACCUCACACCAGGGGACACAACAGUCUCGGAGCCCUUGAUGGAAGUGGCCCCAAGCUCUGCUGCGGUGCCUGUGCGACCUCACGCCAUGGGACGGAACACCCUCGGAGCCCUUGAGGGUGUGGCCUCGUGCUCCCUUGCGGUGCCUGUUCGACCUCACACCAGGGGACACAGCACCCUUGGAGCCCUUGAUGGAAGUGGCCCCGAGUUCUGCGGUGCCCUGUGCGAUCUCACACCAGGGGACAGAACACCCUCAGAGCCCUUGACGGAAGUGGCCCCGUGUUCUGCUGCGGUGCCCUGUGCGACCUCACACCAGCGGACACAACACUCUCGGAGCCCUUGGUGUGGCCCGGGACCUGCAGCUGGGAAGGGCAAGCCUGUCCUCAGAAUAUGUGGCUUUCCCAGGAUCCAAGCAGGAUCCAGGCAGCCCAGUUGAGGUUAAUUUGUUGCCAAGUUACCUAGUCAGUCUCUUUGGGGUCGUGGCACCAUACCCGAGGCUCAGCGCUGGUGUCUGUUGCUGGACCUUCAGCGGUGCCAUUCAUGGACCUUAUACUUCUUCUCUUUACAUUCGAAUUGAAUCACCGGUAGCAAAAUCAGUUUGAUUCUCUCUUUCUCUCUCUCUCUCAUCACUAACGAUGGAAAGCCAGUUGCCAUGUUUUGAGGCAACCCUGUGGAAAAAUCCAACUGGCAAGUGAUUGAAUCCUGCCGCCAACCACAAGUAUGACCUGUGGAGUGGAUCUCAGCUUUACCACCAGUCAAGCUGUUGGAUGAGACUACAACCCUAGGCACACUUCAUCUUUGCUUCGUAGUUGCGUGGCUGUAACCUCUGACAAGUUUAGGAGUCCAUGCGUGCACGUAGGGAGCUUCUUGAUCUCCACCGGGACCCAACACGGGGUUUCCUUAAAGCGGAGAUGAAAAAUACUGCAGAGUGGAGAGUCAGUGGUUUACCCUCCUAGUGUCCACCCUGCAGCCAGAACCCUGGUUCUCAGACUUCCAACUCAGGGAAUUUGAUACUCGGUUGCCACACCUAAGGGGUGAACAGCAGGAAAGGAAGAAAGGACCGGAAACUGGAGGGAACACAUGGCCACUGGCCUCGGGAUUUUGUUGAGGUCUAAGCCUGCUUUUGCCCUCUGUCUGUUGGAAAGGGCAUUUCCUUCUCUCCCUCUCCCCACCUCCAUUCUGACUGACCUGUAGGCUAAAUGCAUAAUCAUCUUUAAUCAACAACCCAUUUAACAUUUUGACACUUGUUAGCUCAUUUAACAAAUGUCACUGCAUUCUGUAUUUACAGUAGCAUCACAGUCUUUAAAGAAAUCCAUUUUUUAGAUUUGUAAAAUUAAUCAUGGCUAUGCAUGUUUAUUAACGUUUCAGAGACUUUAUUUCUGUGAGAUUUUCAAAUAAAAGUAUUUCUUAAAAUUUAGGUUAAAUUAUUUAGACAGAUUCCCGUAUUUUUGUCAGGCAUUUAAGGUUCUAUAAAGAAAUGCAUCAUUUAAACCAUUUAAAUAAAUUCUGACUUUUUAUAAAACAAGAAUUUGUUACGUGUCAACGGUAAUUAGUCACUGCCUUGGAAAUGCUGUUUUUAAAUAUGAUCUUUCAAAAGAAUCACACCUGUGGUGUUUUUGUUGUUUAGUUUUGCAAAGACACCUAUAGAGCCCUUCUAUUCCAAACAUUUCUCGGAUCACAAAUCUUGGAAUGGUUUCUGUGUUCUUUUGCCCUCUGCUGGCUAAAUUGAGACCUUCUAAAAAACACAUCCAUCAGAUAAUCUUAAGGUCACCAAUGUACCAAUGGUCCUCUGUCCUGCUCAUCUUUAGGUCUAUGUGGCAAGCCUUCUUGACAAUCUUUAUGCCAGAGAUAAGAAUCUAGCUUUAACUGCUGCUUUUUUUAAUCAAGAUAUCCAUGACCUAAUGGCUCCACCUAUGAGAUCUGUCCAUUCUCCAGCAUCUUUUGUAUUUAUCCAUGGCAUCCUAUGAUCAGGACCUUAUUAUAUACUAUCCUAUUUCUGGGUUGUCUGUACUGCAUAAUUUAGUAGAUAUAUCAGUGUGUAAAUAUAAACAAGCUCUAUCCUGUCUUGUUUACUAAUUGCUUGGUGUUUAUCUUGUUU